UACACAGGAAUCGUACCCGAAACCGACACAGGUGGUCAGGUCGAGUAGACCAAGGCGCUUGAGAGAACUCUGCUGAAGGAACUAGGCAAAAUGGUACCGUAACUUCGGGAGAAGGUACGCUGUUGUUGGUGAUGGAACUCGCUUCCUGAGCUGACGACAGCCGCAGAAACCAGGCCGCUGCAACUGUUUAUUAAAAACAUAGCACUCUGCAAACACGAAAGUGGACGUAUAGGGUGUGAUGCCUGCCCGGUGCUGGAAGGUUAAUUGAUGGGGUUAGCGUAAGCGAAGCUCUUGAUCGAAGCCCCAGUAAACGGCGGCCGUAACUAUAACGGUCCUAAGGUAGCGAAAUUCCUUGUCGGGUAAGUUCCGACCUGCACGAAUGGCAUAAUGAUGGCGGCGCUGUCUCCAGCAGAGGCUCAGUGAAAUCGAAAUCGCUGUGAAGAUGCAGUGUACCCGCGGCUAGACGGAAAGACCCCGUGAACCUUUACUGCAGCUUGACACUGAACUUUGACCUUACUUGUGUAGGAUAGGUGGGAGGCUUUGAAGCUGGAACGCUAGUUCCAGUGGAGCCGUCCUUGAAAUACCACCCUGGUAAUGUUGAGGUUCUAACUCUGUCCCGUGAUCCGGGACGAGGACCGUGUCUGGUGGGUAGUUUGACUGGGGCGGUCUCCUCCUAAAGAGUAACGGAGGAGUACGAAGGUGCGCUCAGCGUGGUCGGAAAUCACGCGUAGAGUAUAAAGGCAAAAGCGCGCUUAACUGCGAGACCCACAAGUCGAGCAGGUACGAAAGUAGGUCUUAGUGAUCCGGUGGUUCUGUAUGGAAGGGCCAUCGCUCAACGGAUAAAAGGUACUCUGGGGAUAACAGGCUGAUACCGCCCAAGAGUUCAUAUCGACGGCGGUGUUUGGCACCUCGAUGUCGGCUCAUCUCAUCCUGGGGCUGAAGCAGGUCCCAAGGGUAUGGCUGUUCGCCAUUUAAAGAGGUACGCGAGCUGGGUUUAGAACGUCGUGAGACAGUUCGGUCCCUAUCUACCGUGGGCGCUGGAAAUUUGAGAGGAUCUGCUCCUAGUACGAGAGGACCAGAGUGGACGAACCUCUGGUGUACCGGUUGUGACGCCAGUCGCAUCGCCGGGUAGCUAUGUUCGGAAGGGAUAACCGCUGAAAGCAUCUAAGCGGGAAGCCUACCUCAAGAUAAGAUUUCCCUAGGACUUUAUGUCCUCUAAAGAGCCGUUCGAGACUAGGACGUUGAUAGGUUGGAUGUGGAAGCAUAGUGAUAUGUGAAGCUGACCAAUACUAAUUGCUCGUGAGGCUUGACUAU
rnacentral:rRNA from 1 species